AUUGAACGCUGGCGGCAGGCCUAACACAUGCAAGUCGAACGAGUGGCGGACGGGUGAGUAAUGUCUGGGAAACUGCCCGAUGGAGGGGGAUAACUACUGGAAACUGUAGCUAAUACCGUAUACCAUCAGAUGUGCCCAGUUGGGAUUAGCUAGUAGGUGGGGUAAUGGCGCACCUAGGCGACGAUCCCUAGUGGGUCUGAGAGGAUGACCAGCCACACUGGAACUGAGACACGGUCCAGAAUACUACGGUAGGCAGCAGUGGGGAAUAUGGCACAAUGGGCGAAAGCCUGAUGCAGCCAUGCCGCGUGUGUGAAGAAGGCCUUCGGGUUGUAAAGCACUUGCAGCGAGGAGGCGUUACUCGCAGAAGAAGCACCGGCUAACUCCGUGCCAGCAGCCGCGGUAAUUC
rnacentral:rRNA from 1 species